rnacentral:lncRNA from 1 species
GAAGAAGAAGGAGGAGGAGGAGGAGGAGAAGGAGGAGGAGAAGGAGGAGGAAGAGCGGGGGAAGGUUGGACCUGUAGGAAGGACUUUCUCUGUGAACUCCAGUACUGGAUCAAGUUUGGAAGAAGUUGGGGCUCCAUGAUGAUCUUCUAAAAGACUUAUUCUCCAUAUAGGUCUAUCUCAAACCAACUGCAAUUUCCUGUUUUCAAACAACUUGAUGUUUGAGAAGACACUAAAAUUUGUGACAUGAUAUAAAGGGCAGCUGGAUGAAGGCUAUAUGGGAACUCUCCGUACUACCUUUGCAAGAAGUGGACCUUGAAUUUUUUUUCAGAUAGAAUUUAUGACUACUUCAGAAUGAUGAAGACGAUGGCAAUUAUGCUACCUGCUGAGACAGGCUAAGCAGGCAACUAAAUGAAAACUGAGAAAAUUUAUUUAAGACAUUCAUAAAACAUGAUUUUCAAAAUUAGAAUUAAAUACCUAUCGCAAAUGUUCUAUAAUUGUGAAAUAAUCAGAAAUAUAUCUUAUUGCUAAUACAUUUAAAUAAAUAUUUUUGUUAAGCACUGCUCACUGGAGAACAAUUCCUCUAAAAGAGGUUUAUGAAUUGUACA